rnacentral:lncRNA from 1 species
UGCAUUCUUCCAAAUCUCAGUCCUCCAACAUGCUUUGGAAUUACAAGAUUAUCUCAAACACCAAAAGAAAUCAAUGGAUAAUAGGAGGAGCUUUGUUUUCAUCGUAAAAGAUUGAAUUACCAGAAGUAACAGAGGCGCUGGUUUUGCCAACAUGAUUUCUUGGCAAAGCACAACAUCUUUUUCAAACCAACACUCUCAGAUUUCAGUUUUCAUAGGAUAUCGUUAUAGAUGGUUUUUGCACCUCUCC